UGCACUUUUUUCUCUUGUACUGACUUUUAAUAUCAUAUGCUUUUGCACGUGAUUUUACAUAAUUCCUAAAAAUGAGAAAAUUCAAAAUUCAAAAUUAUCAAUUUUCAGUAAUUCCAAAACCUGCUAAAAAUUAUAAAGUAAAUCAAACAAUCAAAACAAUUUUAAGAAAAGAAAAGAAAAAAGAAAAAAUAAUAUUAAAAAUUAAG
rnacentral:lncRNA from 1 species